rnacentral:rRNA from 1 species
AUUGAACGCUAGCGGGAUGCUUUACACAUGCAAGUCGAACGAGUGGCGGACGGGUGAGUAAUAUAUCGGCACGUGCCCAGUAGCGGGGGAUAACUACUCGAAAGAGUGGCUAAUACCGCAUACAAUUGGUGUGGCCGAUAUCGGAUUAGCGAGUUGGUGGGGUAAAGGCUCACCAAGGCAACGACCCCUUGCUGGUUUGAGAGGACGACCAGCCACACUGGGACUGAGACACGGCCCAGACUCCUACGGGAGGCAGCAGUGGGGAAUUUUGGACAAUGGGGGAAACCCUGAUCCAGCCAUCCCGCGUGUAUGAGAAGGCCUUCGGGUUGUAAAGUACUUUUGGCAGAGAAGCGGUAUCUGCAGAAUAAGCACCGGCUAACUACGUGCCAGCAGCCGCGGUAAUAC